ACCCUUCAGAUAGAUGCUGUAUACCAGGUUACCAUACAGGUAUAUUAGAUAGAUGCUGUAUACCAGGUUACCAUACAGGUAUAUUAGAUAGAUGCUGUAUACCAGGUUACCAUACAAGUAUAUUAGAUAGAUGCUGUACACCAGGUUACCAUACAAGUAUAUUAGAUAGAUGCUGUACACCAGGUUACCAUACAGGUAUAUUAGAUAGAUAGAUGCUGUUCACCAGGUUACCCUACAGGUAUAUUAGAUAGAUGCUGUAUACCAGGUUACCCUACAGGUAUAUUAGAUAGAUAGAUGCUGUACACCAGGUUACCAUACAGGUAUAUUAGAUAGAUGCUGUACACCAGGUUACCAUACAGGUAUAUUAGAUAGAUAGAUGCUGUAUACCAGGUUACCAUACAGGUAUAUUAGAUAGAUAGAUGCUGUAUACCAGGUUACCAUACAGGUAUAUUAGAUAGAUGCUGUUCACCAGGUUACCAUACAGGUAUAUUAGAUAGAUAGAUGCUGUUCACCAGGUUACCUUACAGGUAUAUUAGAUAGAUAGAUGCUGUAUACCAGGUUACCAUACAGGUAUAUUAGAUAGAUAGAUGCUGUAUACCAGGUUACCAUACAGGUAUAUUAGAUAGAUGCUGUUCACCAGGUUACCAUACAGGUAUAUUAGAUAGAUAGAUGCUGUAUACCAGGUUACCAUACAGGUAUAUUAGAUAGAUGCUGUAUACCAGGUUACCCUACAGGUAUAUUAGAUAGAUAGAUGCUGUUCACCAGGUUACCAUACAGGUAUAUUAGAUAGAUGCUGUAUACCAGGUUACCAUACAGGUAUAUUAGAUAGAUGCUGUUCACCAGGUUACCAUACAGGUAUAUUAGAUAGAUGCUGUAUACCAGGUUACCCUACAGGUAUAUUAGAUAGAUGCUGUAUACCAGGUUACCCUACAGGUAUAUUAGAUAGAUAGAUGCUGUUCACCAGGUUACCAUACAGGUAUAUUAGAUAGAUAGAUGCUGUAUACCAGGUUACCAUACAGGUAUAUUAGAUAGAUGCUGUAUACCAGGUUACCAUACAGGUAUAUUAGAUAGAUAGAUGCUGUAUACCAGGUUACCAUACAGGUAUAUUAGAUAGAUGCUGUAUACCAGGUUACCCUACAGGUAUAUUAGAUAGAUAGAUGCUGUAUACCAGGUUACCCUACAGGUAUAUUAGAUAGAUAGAUGCUGUAUACCAGGUUACCAUACAGGUAUAUUAGAUAGAUGCUGUUCACCAGGUUACCAUACAGGUAUAUUAGAUAGAUAGAUGCUGUAUACCAGGUUACCAUACAGGUAUAUUAGAUAGAUAGAUGCUGUAUACCAGGUUACCAUACAGGUAUAUUAGAUAGAUAGAUGCUGUAUACCAGGUUACCAUACAGGUAUAUUAGAUAGAUGCUGUAUACCAGGUUACCAUACAGGUAUAUUAGAUAGAUAGAUGCUGUAUACCAGGUUACCAUACAGGUAUAUUAGAUAGAUAGAUGCUGUAUACCAGGUUACCCUACAGGUAUAUUAGAUAGAUAGAUGCUGUUCACCAGGUUACCAUACAGGUAUAUUAGAUAGAUAGAUGCUGUAUACCAGGUUACCAUACAGGUAUAUUAGAUAGAUAGAUGCUGUAUACCAGGUUACCAUACAGGUAUAUUAGAUAGAUAGAUGCUGUAUACCAGGUUACCCUACAGGUAUAUUAGAUAGAUAGAUGCUGUUCACCAGGUUACCAUACAGGUAUAUUAGAUAGAUAGAUGCUGUAUACCAGGUUACCCUACAGGUAUAUUAGAUAGAUAGAUGCUGUUCACCAGGUUACCCUACAGGUAUAUUAGAUAGAUAGAUGCUGUAUACCAGGUUACCCUACAGGUAUAUUAGAUAGAUAGAUGCUGUAUACCAGGUUACCAUACAGGUAUAUUAGAUAGAUGCUGUUCACCAGGUUACCAUACAGGUAUAUUAGAUAGAUAGAUGCUGUACACCAGGUUACCAUACAGGUAUAUUAGAUAGAUAGAUGCUGUUCACCAGGUUACCAUACAGGUAUAUUAGAUAGAUAGAUGCUGUACACCAGGUUACCCUACAGGUAUAUUAGAUAGAUAGAUGCUGUACACCAGGUUACCCUACAGGUAUAUUAGAUAGAUAGAUGCUGUUCACCAGGUUACCAUACAGGUAUAUUAGAUAGAUGCUGUACACCAGGUUACCAUACAGGUAUAUUAGAUAGAUGCUGUACACCAGGUUACCAUACAGGUAUAUUAGAUAGAUAGAUGCUGUAUACCAGGUUACCAUACAGGUAUAUUAGAUAGAUAGAUGCUGUAUACCAGGUUACCAUACAGGUAUAUUAGAUAGAUAGAUGCUGUACACCAGGUUACCAUACAGGUAUAUUAGAUAGAUAGAUGCUGUAUACCAGGUUACCCUACAGGUAUAUUAGAUAGAUAGAUGCUGUUCACCAGGUUACCCUACAGGUAUAUUAGAUAGAUAGAUGCUGUUCACCAGGUUACCAUACAGGUAUAUUAGAUAGAUAGAUGCUGUACACCAGGUUACCCUACAGGUAUAUUAGAUAGAUAGAUGCUGUACACCAGGUUACCCUACAGGUAUAUUAGAUAGAUGCUGUAUACCAGGUUACCCUACAGGUAUAUUAGAUAGAUGCUGUUCACCAGGUUACCAUACAGGUAUAUUAGAUAGAUAGAUGCUGUAUACCAGGUUACCAUACAGGUAUAUUAGAUAGAUAGAUGCUG